UACGGAGGGUGCAAGCGUUAUCCGGAUUCACUGGGUUUAAAGGGUGCGUAGGAGGGCAGGUAAGUCAGUGGUGAAAUCUCCGAGCUUAACUUGGAAACUGCCGUUGAUACUAUCUGCCUUGAAUAUUGUGGAGGUGAGCGGAAUAUGUCAUGUAGCGGUGAAAUGCUUAGAUAUGACAUAGAACACCAAUUGCGAAGGCAGCUCGCUACACAUAUAUUGACUCUGAGGCACGAAAGCGUGGGGAUCAAACAGGA
rnacentral:rRNA from 1 species